rnacentral:rRNA from 1 species
GAUGAACGCUAGCGGCAGGCAUAAUACAUGCAAGUUGAACGGCAGCACAGGUAGCAAUACUGGGUGGCGAGUGGCGCACGGGUGCGUAACACGUAUGCAACCUACCCUAUACAGGCGAAUAACCUUUAGAAAUGAGGGCUAAUAUGCCGUAGUAUUACAGAUGGGCAUCUAUUUGUAAUUAAAGAUUUAUCGGUAUAGGAUGGGCAUGCGUCCCAUUAGUUAGUUGGUAAGGUAACGGCUUACCAAGACGAUGAUGGGUAGGGGAUCUGAGAGGACUUACCCCCACACUGGUACUGAGACACGGACCAGACUCCUACGGGAGGCAGCAGUAAGGAAUAUUGGGCAAUGGCCGCGAGGCUGACCCAGCCAUGCCGCGUGCAGGAAGACGGCCUUAUGGGUUGUAAACUGCUUUUAUACGGGAAUAAUAGAGUGUACGCGUACAUUUAUGCAAGUAUCGUAUGAAUAAGCAUCGGCUAACUCCGUG